rnacentral:ncRNA from 2 species
AGAAGUCUUUGUGGCAGGGUGCAAAUCCCUACCGAUGGUAUAGUCCAUGACCCGCGCAAGCGGCUGAUCUGGUGACCUUUUUGAGGAAUUCCAGAACCGACGGUAUAGUCCGGAUGAGAAAAGACAUUU